GUGAGGGAAGAUCUGCUUUAGUUUAGGGAUUAAGAAGACUGAAUUAUGAGAAUUAUCAUGGUUUGGUCUGCUCUUCUCCUAACACUUAUCAUUCAUUUCUCAGGAUCCUGGGCCCAGUCUGUGGUAACACAGCCAUCCUCAAUGUCUGGGAACCUGGGUCAGAGGAUCACCAUCUCCUGUACUGGAAACAGCAACAACAUAGGACAUAGUGAUAAUGGAAAAUAUAUAAUAUGGUAUCAGCACCUCUCGGGAAGGACCCCUAGACCUCUUAUCUAUGGUACAACUAAAAGACCGUCGGGGGUCCCAGAUCGUUUUUCUGGCUCCAAAUCUCGCAACACAGCCUCCCUUAUCAUCACGACACUCCAGUCUGAGGAUGAGGCUGAUUAUUACUGCUUUGUUUGGGAUAAUAAUGUAGGCGGUCACACAGUGCUCCGGCCCACUGGUGGAGUGAGACAAAAACUUGUUAUUAUCUCAGCUAUGGUUCAUAUGUUGUAGCUCCUUCCCUCUAAGCAAUUAGCCACUAACUUUUAUUUGGUGAAAAAUCAGUCUUAAGAGGCUGGGUGGUGGCACACCUGGUUGAGUGUGCCUUACAAUGCAGAAGGACACAGGUUCAGAACCCAAGUCCCCACUUGCAGGGGGAAAGCUUCACAGGUGAUAAAGCAGGACUGCAGGUGUCUCUCUGUUUCUCUCCCUCUC